rnacentral:tRNA from 1 species
AGCUUUAUAGUCAACAAUGAUAUUAGACUGCAAUUCUAAAGGAGUAAUAAUUAUACUAAAGCUU